UCCCUGGUGGCUCAGACGGUAAAGCAUCCGCCUGCAGGGCGGGAGACCCAGGUUCCAUCCCUGGGCUGGGAA
rnacentral:tRNA from 1 species